rnacentral:rRNA from 1 species
GAUGAACGCUAGCUACAGGCUUAACACAUGCAAGUCGAGGGACCGGCGCACGGGUGAGUAACACGUAUCCAACCUGCCCUUUACUCGGGGAUAGCCUUUCGAAAGAAAGAUUAAUACCCGAUAUAAAGGAUGGGGAUGCGUUCCAUUAGGUUGUUGGUGAGGUAACGGCACACCAAGGCUUCGAUGGAUAGGGGUUCUGAGGGGAAUGACUCCGACAUUUGAACAGUGACCCGGUCCAAACUCCUACGUGAAGCAGAAGUGAGGAAUAAUGGGCAAAGGACGCUAGCCUGAACCAGCCAAGUAGCGUGAAGGAUGAAGGCUUAUGUGUUGAAAUCCUCUUUUAUAUAAGAAGAUGUAUUACAUGAAGAAGGAUCGGCUAACUCCGUGCCAGCAGCCGCGGUAAUAC